rnacentral:rRNA from 1 species
GACGAACGCUGGCGGCGUGCUUAACACAUGCAAGUCGAACGGGCCUGCCUGGCUUUGGUUGGGUGGGUGAGUGGCGAACGGGUGAGUAACACGUGAGUAACCUGCCCUCUUCUCUUGGAUAACUGCUUGAAAGGGCGGCUAAUACGGGAUGUUCUGGCUGCCUCGCAUGGGGUGGUUUGGAAAGAUUCGGCCUGGUUUUGGUUGUUUUGGUGGGGGAUAGGCUCGCGGCUUAUCAGCUUGUUGGUGGGGUGAUGGCCUACCAAGGCGGUGACGGGUAGCCGGCCUGAGAGGGUGGACGGUCACACUGGGACUGAGACACGGCCCAGACUCCUCGGGAGGCAGCAGUGGGGGAUUUUGCACAAUGGGCGCAAGCCUGAUGCAGCGACGCCGCGUGAGGGAUGGAGGCCUUCGGGUUGUGAACCUCUGUCGCCGGUGAUGUAGGCUCUGCUUUGUGGGUGGGGUGACGGAGCCGGG